AAUAGAAUUGCUGGGUCAUGUGGUAACUCUAAACUUUUUGAGGAACUGCCAAAUUGUUUCCCAAAGUGGCUAUACCAUUUUACACCCCACUAACAAU
rnacentral:pre_miRNA from 1 species